rnacentral:lncRNA from 10 species
CCUCGCUCCCCACUGCCUGGCUCUGGCCUUCCCUGCUCUUCCCUUUCCAUCCAGCAGCCCUGGUGCCACAGGAGGGCUGAGUCACAGGCUGAGUCACAGUGAGUCCCCAAGUGCCCAGUGCUGUCCCACACCUUUGCCCCUGCUGUUCCCCUGCCUGAGCUGCCCUCCCUCUUGUCUGAUGGUGACUUCUACGCAUCCUUCAAAACUCAGGUCAUCUCCGUGGUAGGGCGGUUCUGACCUCCAGAUUGAGGCAAUCAUUCCCUCCACUGUUCUUCCCUUCAGCUCACCUCUUGCCCCCACUCCUCAUGGCAGAGCCAGUUUAAUUGCUUCUUAUUUAUGCCCCCUUUCCCCCGCCUCGAAGCAUGAGUCUCUUGAGAGCAGGGAGUAUGUCCCGUGGCAGAGACUCAAUCAUGGAGAUUGGUUGGCUGUGUAGAGGGCUGGAUGAACGACUGCAUAAAAAAACUGGUUGGCUGGAUGGUCAGACAACAGAAAACCUGAGAAAACAUCAACACAAUUGGCUCUGCAUGCGCGAUGUGCUCUUGUGGCCCUGGUGUUAGCAGGGAGGGAUCCAGGGUUUGUGGGAUCCGAUGCUGAUACAACUGAGGGGCAUCCCCUUCCAGAAAAAACUACAAAAGCAGGUACAGGGCUUUAGAGGGGGCGCAGAAACGUAAGCUUUAUCAGCAUCCCGGCAAAUUCACCUUUGCUGUUCGCUUCGCUGGGCACACCCCCAUGUCCCGGCCUUGAGCUCCUGCCGCGCUCACCACUUCCUCCUUGCCUGACCGCGGACCGCAGGCAGCACUUUCGCUGAGAUUGCUUCCCCUUGAGGUCUGCAGGUCUCUGGGCCCGGGAGAGCCUCCGCUGUCUCAGGAGCACAGGCUGAAGCUUCAUCAGCCUCCAGCCCAGCCAGGAGAUGGGGCCGUGAUGACCAGGCUGGUCUCGAACUCCUGACCUCCCGUGACCCACUCGCCUCAGCCUCCCAAAGUGCUGGGAUUCCCGGAGUGAGCCACCGACUACACCCAGUCAGUUGGCAGCAAGACCAAGAGCUCCUGGGGACAGGCGCAUCUUCCACCCCAGCUUCACCCCCACCUGUGGAGCCUCCACCGUUUGCCCCUCUGCUUCCAGCCUUCAUCUUCCCCUCCCUCCCUCUGACUGGUCCUGAUCCCUGGCACCCACUGUUCUGCUUUCUGUCUCCAAGAAUGUGACUCCUCCAGGCACCUCAUUGAGAGCAUCAGGCCUGCCAACAACCCCAUGGUACAACAAGAAAAUGGCUGUGCUGGAGCCCUGGACGCCGGAAAUCUGAGAUGAAGGUGCCGGCAGGGCCCUGCCCGCUCUGAAGUCUCUGGGGGAAGCUUCUUUGCCUCUUCCAGCUUCUGGUGGCUCCACGCACUGCUGGGCUCGUGGCUGCCUCCCUCUGGUCUCUGCCCCGGUCUGCACGUGGCCUUCCCUGCGUGUUUCUGUGUCCUUGCUGCUGCUUAGAAGCACAGCAGCCAUUGGAUUAGGACCCACUCUCAUCCAGCAUGGCCUCAUCUUAACUCAUUACGUCUACAAAAUCUCCAUUUCCAAAUAAGGUCCCAUUCUGGGGUCCUGAGUGGACACGGCGGGGACACCAUCAACCCAUCCUAAGGCCUUCUUGGGCAGCCUCAGGGGGAAGCCGGACCAGCCUUAAGUGAAAGUGGAGGGUUCCAAGGAUCCUACAAAGGGGCCCUGACCCAGUCGGUGGGCAGCAGGGGACAGAGUGGACGUGGAACUUGUAGACAGACAGAACGAUGCACAGGACUCACCCCCACCACCAGAGGUCUGUGUGCAGAGACGACAGAGGGCAGCGUCCCUCCCACUGCCCAUCACCCAUGGAGUGUGGAAAAUCCCGGUCAAGACAGCAGCCCGGGCCGUGAAAUCGAAUCUGGGGGUCCCAAGCAUCGGCGUUUGUGCAGCUCUCGGUGGUUCCAAAGUCAGCCAAGAUCUCGGUUCUGGGCCGCCAGGGGCUCUGGAGUCAGACACCUCGUGUCUAAGUCUCCACCAGUUACUGACCGAGCGACCUCAGCAGUACGUUCACCGCUCCGGGUGUCCCUGUCCCCUGUGGAUGGCAUCAUUGCCUCCCUUAUGGAGAUGAGAAGAAUCAAACGGGAACGUUGGCUCCGUGCCUGUCACGAGGGAAGUGCUUGAUAGACGGUGCCCUUCUGCGCCACGUAGAGAGAAAACCGAGGGAGCCUCAUUUAAACUGCAGGCCUGGGAAGGCCUGUGGACUUUCAGGGAAGCUGAGAAGGGGCCCUGGCACCGGUCUGCAUGCCAGCUGGGCAGGGCAGGGUGAGCCUGGUGCAUAUACCUGGGGCCACACAGCAGGGCCUCAUGCUUCUUUUUUGGACCCACUUGACGGAUGGGGAGACUGAGUUCAGAGAGGCCAAGUGGCUUGCCAGGGUCACGCAGCUGAUACACAGCAAAUGGAUUUUAAACCCACCUGACCGCAAUUCCAAGCAUUGUUUUCUUGGGUCAAACCUUGGGAGCUCAAAGGGUGAUCCUGACCUGUGAUGGCUCCAUUUUAUGCAGAAUAUUUUGUUUUGUUUUUUAAUUUGCCUGUUUACUCUAAUGUUCCCAGUCGUUUUCCUCCCAGGGAUCCUCACUCACAAGUGGACUCUGACGGCCUCGGGGGCUCAGAUUUCACAAUCGGCUAAGGCUAACAUAAGGCCUUCCAGGUUACAAGGCUGAAAGUUAUUUUCCAUCAUUCAUUUGUUCACUUUACAUAACAUGCACCUAUUGAGCACCUGCUGUAUACUGGGAACCAAGUUAAACACCAGGUUUGCAGAGGUGGACAAGGCCCUGUUCCUGCCUCCAGGGUCUCCAACCCAUCAGGAGACGCAGGCCCUUUGACAGACACUGGUGAUAAAAUGACAGUGGAGGUCUGUUCAAGAUACAGUUCUGGAGGCUGGGAUAUCCAAACUCAUGGUGCCGGCAGAUUCGUGUCUGGUGAGGACUGUUUUCUCUGCUUCAAGAUGGAGCCCUGUUGCUGCAUCUUUUCUAGGAAGAUGAACACUGUCCUCCUAUGGUGGAACAGAAGGGAAAAAGGCAUGAACGGCUCCCUUGUGCCUCUCAUAUAAGGUCACUAAUCCCAUUCUCAAGGGCUCCACCCUCAUGACCUAAUCACCUCCCAAAGGCCCCACCUGUUAAUGCUAUGGCAUUGCUGGUUAUGUUGCAACAUAAGAAUUUGGGCGGACACAUUCAGACCAUAGCAGGCACCAUUAGUAAGCCCAUCUUAUGGAUCAGGAAACCAGAACACAGGGAGGUUCGGCAAUUUGUCCGAGGUCACACAGCCAGGAUUGGGUGUGGGUCCCAGCUCUUCUGGCAGUGCUGGUUUUGGGCACUUUAUUUCAUCUCUUUCUGCUUGUCUUCUCAACUCUUACAUGCGAAGACCACGGUACAGCUCUUAUUACUGUAGUUGUCCCGGGGAGACCCGUGUGUCCGUGGCAUCCACGUGGCAGAUGCUGUGCCCAGGCCGUGGACUCUGGAUAGGCUCAGGCCUAUGACUUUACCUGCCACUCUCUCUUCCAGCGGUCCCAGUGCCCCUAGUCCCCAAGGGCAGUCAGCUCCUUUUUUUUUUUUUGAGACAGGGUCUUACUCUGUCACCCACGCUGAAGUGCAGUGAUGUGAUCAAGGUUCACCGCAGCCUUGACCUCCCCAAGCUCAGGUGAUCCUCCCACCUUAGCCUCCCAAGUAGCUAGGACUACAGGUGCAUGCUACCAUGCCCAGCAAAGUUUUAUACAUGUAUAUAUUUUUCCAGAGACAGGGUCUCGCUAUGCUGGUCUUGAACUCUGGGACUCAAGUGAUCUGCACACCUCAGCCUCCCAAAGUGCUGAGAUUACAGACAUGAAACACUGCGACCGGGCGACUUCCCUUAUAAUCACAUUCCUGAUUACACUUAGGGCCCAUCCAGAUACUCCAGGGUAAUCUCUCCAUCUCAGGGUCCCUAACUUAAUCCCAUCUGCAAAGACUUUUGCCUUCUAAGGUAACCUCCACAGGUUUCAGGGAUGCGGACCUGGGUAUCUCUGGGGGCCAUGAUAUCUAGUAUGAUUAUUUAUUGUUAUUGAUUAUUCAGCUUACUGCAGUGUACACAUGGCCACGGGACCACCACUCUUUGGUCUAUGGCUGUCAUCUGUGAAGAGCUACAGCACUUUUUCCACUGAGCCUGAAUAUGCAGCCUCAGAAGCCUUGUUGUCAUUGUUGCUGUUUGAGACGGGGUCUCACUAUGUUGCCCAGGCUACUCGCCAACUCCUGGGCUCAAGUAAUCCUCCCGCCUCAACCACCCACCCCCGCCUGAGUAGCUGGGACUACAGGUAUGCACCACCAUACCUGGCUAAAUUUUUAAAAUUAUUUUGCAGAGACAGUCCCACUAUGCUGCCUGGGCUGGUCUCAAACACCUGGCCUCAAGCAAUCCUCCUGCCUCAGCCCCACAAAGUACUGGAAUUACAAGCAUGAGCCACCUUGCCUGGCCAGAAUGUUUCUUAAUUUCCAAGUUGUUAGGCUGUUGGUCAUCUUUUUUUUUUUUUAAUUCCUCAUGUUAUUAGACUAUGAUCAGAGAAGUGUUCUAUAAAAUCUCUGCUUUUUAAAAUCUGGCCAAGUUUUUGUUUUGGUCGAGUAUAUAAGACAUGUUUGCAGCUAAUCGAUGGAUGUAAGAACAAUUCCCCACUAAACAGCGACAUGAUUCUAUCAGUCAAUUCCUUCAUUUCCUUCUUGUCUUUUUUGUCUGUUUAAUUCUGCAGAUGUAUUAAAAUGCCUUCUGUAAUCUCUCCGGUUUUCUUGCCUUGAUGAUGGGAAUCAGUUUCCACCCCUAGGGUCUGGCAAGGAGGCCAACCCGACCCAGUGCCUUCUCCGCUACUGAAACCUGUGACACAAAGGAACCUAGGACUUCCACACGCUGGACCCCCAGCCUAUGUGCCAGAGCAGGAAGUCAGGAGCUGGAUGGAGGUCUCCUCAGAAGGGAGUCAGGCCACAUUGUUCCAUAAUGCUCUGCUGUAAUCAGCCCUUCUGUGUUUGAGAGCUUUCAAAAAGAGCUGACUGGCCAGGUGCAGUGGUCAGGAGUUCC